UCAACGAGCAACAACGAAUACAAAUCAUUUAGAAAAAGAAGCCACACGAAAAAGUGGUCUAAAGUGCAUAUAAAAAAAGUGAAGUGAUUAUUAAAAAAGUAUAUGUGCAUCAGCUAACUAAUCAGCUCAAGAAACAGAAGAGAGACUUCAAAUAAAUUUUAGAAAUGCAGAUAAUACAGCAGAAAGAUGCAGAAAGGGUUCUCAAGAAAAUUGGAUUGUCAAGAUGCAGCCUUACUCUGGGCCCUACAUGGGUAUUUUGUGCCUUUCCAAAAAGUUGUGAGAAAACACAAAUAGGGAAAGAAACGUUCACGAGGUUUACUAUCUUGAUAAAUUGCAAUUAAAUUACUUAUUGAUAAAUGAACUAAACUACAAAAAAUAAAAAUUAUAAAAUUAAA